rnacentral:rRNA from 1 species
UCCUCUCAAACCAGCUAGGGAUCGUCGCCUUGGUGAGCCAUUACCUCACCAACUAGCUAAUCCCACUUGGGCCAAUCUAAAGGCGAGAGCCGAAGCCCCCUUUGGUCCGUAGACAUUAUGCGGUAUUAGCAGUCGUUUCCAACUGUUGUCCCCCACCUCAAGGCUGUUCCCAAGCAUUACUCACCCGUCCGCCGCUCGACCCAGAGUAGCAAGC